rnacentral:rRNA from 1 species
UUGCACGAAUGGGACGCAAGCCUGAUGCAGCCAUGCCGCGUGUAUGAAUAAGGCUUACGGGUUGUAAAGUACUUUCAGCAGUGAGGAAGGUGGGUAUGUUAAUAGCAUAUUCAUUUGACGUUAGCUGCAGAAGAAGCACCGGCUAACUCCGUGCCAGCAGCCGCGGUAAUACGGAGGGGUGCGAGCGUUAAUCGGAAUUACUGGGCGUAAAGCGCAUGCAGGUGGUUUGUUAAGUCAGAUGUGAAAGCCCGGGGCUCAAACCUCGGAAUUGCAUUUUGAAAACUGGCAAACUAGAGUACUGUAGAGGGGGUAGAAUUUCAGGUGUAGCGGUGAAAAUGCGUAGAGAUCUGAAGGAAUACCGGUGGCGAAGGCGGCCCCCUGGACAGAUACUGACACUCAGAUGCGAAAGCGUGGGGAGCAAACAGGAUUAGAUACCCUGGUAG